UACGUAGGGUGCAAGCGUUAAUCGGAAUUACUGGGCGUAAAGCGUGCGCAGGCGGUGAUGUAAGACAGGUGUGAAAUCCCCGGGCUUAACCUGGGAACUGCAUUUGUGACUGCAUCGCUGGAGUGCGGCAGAGGGGGAUGGAAUUCCGCGUGAAGCAGUGAAAUGCGUAGAUAUGCGGAGGAACACCGAUGGCGAAGGCAAUCCCCUGGGCCUGCACUGACGCUGAGGUGCGAAAGCCAGGGGAGCAAACGGG
rnacentral:rRNA from 1 species